UACAGAGGUCUCAAGCGUUGUUCGGAUUUACUGGGCGUAAAGAGCGCGCAGGCGGUCGUCCAAGUCGCGUGUGAAAGCCCCCGGCUCAACUGGGGAGGGUCACGCGAUACUGGUCGACUCGAAGGCAGGAGAGGGUAGUGGAAUUCCCGGUGUAGUGGUGAAAUGCGUAGAUAUCGGGAGGAACACCAGUGGCGAAGGCGACUACCUGGCCUGUUCUUGACGCUGAGGCGCGAAAGCUAGGGGAGCAAACGGG
rnacentral:rRNA from 1 species